rnacentral:lncRNA from 10 species
CAGAGGCUGUAGAAUGUGCACGGGGGCUUGGUCUCUCUUGCUGCCCUAGAGACCAGCUGCCCCACGAAGGAACCAGAGCCAACCUGCUGCUUCCUGGAGGAAGACAGUCCCUCUGUCCCUCUGUCUCUGCCAACCAGUUAACCUGCUGCUUCCUGGAGGAAGACAUCACUCUGUCUCUGCCAACCCAGCUGACCGCAGACAUGCAGGUCUGCUCAGGAAAAGCUUUGGAUCACAAUUCCCAGUGCUGAAGAAAAGGCCAAACUCUGGAAAAAAUUUUGAAUAUUUUGAGCCAAAUGUGAGGACCACAACCUGUGAGAACGGAAAAUAAAUCCUGGGACCCCAGACUCACUAAGCCAAAGGGAAAAGCCAAGCUGGGAACUGGCUUAUGCAAACCUGCUUCCCAUCUGGUUCCUAAAUAAGAUAGCUAUUACACAAAGAUAAAAAAGCUACAUCCCUGCCUCUACCUCCAUCGCAUGUAAAAUGUGUAUUCAGUGAACACUGACCAAAGACAGAAGAAUGCAACCAUUUGCCUCUGAUUUACCCACACCCAUUUUUUCCACUUCUUCCCCUUUCCCCAAUACCCGCACUUUUCCCCUUUACUUACUGAGGCCCCCAGACAAUCUUUGGGAAAAGCACGGACCACAGUUUUUCCUGUGGUUCUCUGUUCUUUUCUCAGGUGUGUCCUUAACCUUGCAAAUAGAUUUCUUGAAAUGAUUGACACUCACCUUGGUUGUGUUCUUUGAUCAGCGCCUGUGACGCAGCUUCAGGAGGUCCUGAGAACGUGUGCACAGUUUAGUCGGCAGAAACUUAGGGAAACGUAAGACCACCAUCAGUACGUAGGAGUUGUGCAUUGGUUUGGUCUGGAAGGAGGAAAAUUCAAAGUAAUGGGGCUUACAGGUCAUAGAUAGAUUCAAAGAUUUUCUGAUUGUCAAUUG